UAAAUUUUCACGCUCGUCCGGCUGAACUCAAUUUUGAGUCGCCUUAACUCAAAAUAAUAACUUCUUCAGAGACGUCAAACUCUGAGUAACUGAGAAUUAUUAUUUUGAGUUGGUUUGACUCAUUCUGAAUAAAUCGAAGCAGAACUAGAAAAUGAGUUCACAGUGAAAAUUUCAAGAAGUUCAACGGUCACUGAUAGAAUUUCACCAUUAACAUCUUGAAACAACGACCCAAGCCUAUAGGCAACUGAAGCACAACUAUUUAGACAAGGAACAUAUAUUAUCUAUUUUACUAUUUUGGAUCUAUACAAUGGGACCUUCGAUUUCGCUAAGAUGCUCGCCUAUAACGAGGUCUACAGAGCAAGACGAUGCUGAAGGUGACCGGGUCCGAUUCUCGGUUCGGUCUAGGAAAUUUUCUCGACUUCCCUGGGCAUAAAAGUACCAUCGUGUUAGCCUCAUACGAAUGCAAAAAUGGACAUUCACAGAUCACUAGAAAAAUAGAUGAAACAUUUCCGGGAUUUUGUCGCCGCCUUUGUACACUUCGUCAAAUAUGUCAGCAUCAGUGACCGCUAUUACGACAUCCUGCUAUAACAGCAGAUAUGAAGGAGGUUUGGGCAGAGGUCCACGAUUAGAUCCCUUACUAAUUUAUGCUUCUUGUGCCAAUGCUCUUUUCUUCUUGCCGCAUCAUUACUCUCGUCAUUACCAACCACCGCUCAACAACCAUUUUAGGAUCGUUGAAUUAUUUUAUA